rnacentral:rRNA from 1 species
AGCGAACGCUGGCGGCAGGCUUAACACAUGCAAGUCGAGCGGGCCCUUCGGGGUCAGCGGCGGACGGGUGAGUAACGCGUGGGAACGUGCCUUCUGGUCUGGAAUAACCCUGGGAAACUAGGGCUAAUACCGGAUACGCCCUUUUGGGGAAAGGUUUACUGCCGGGAGAUCGGCCCGCGUCUGAUUAGCUAGUUGGUGGGGUAACGGCCUCCCAAGGCGACGAUCAGUAGCUGGUCUGAGAGGAUGGUCAGCCACACUGGGACUGAGACACGGCCCAGACUCCUACGGGAGGGAGGAGGGGGGAAUAUUGGAAAAGGGGGGCAAAGCCGAACCCGCCCUGGCGGGGGAGGGGAGAAGGGCUUAGGGGUGGAAAACUCUUUUUUCCGGGAAGAAAAUGACGGGACCGGGGGAAAAAGCCCCGGCUAACUUCGUG